GUGUGAAGCUCCUUNGNCGAGUCGAGUUNUUUGGGAAUGCAGCUCUAAAUGGGUGGUAAAUUUCAUCUAAAGCUAAAUAUGGGCCAGAGACCGAUAGCGCACAAGUAGAGUGAUCGAAAGAUGAAAAGCACUUUGAAAAGAGAGUUAAACAGUAUGUGAAAUUGUGAAAGGGAAGCGCUUGCAACCAGACUUGUGACUGACGGUUCCCNCCNGCCUUCUGGCCGGGCUACUCUGUCACGUCCAGGCCAACAUCGGUUUGGGUGGUCGGUGAAAGACCCCGGGAAUGUAUCUANCUUCGGGUCGACUUAUAGCCCGGGGUGCAAUGCGGCCCACCCGGACCGAGGAACGCGCUUCGGCUCGGAUGUUGGCGUAAUGGUUGUAAGCGGCC
rnacentral:rRNA from 1 species